rnacentral:rRNA from 1 species
GACGAACGCUGGCGGCGUGCUUAACACAUGCAAGUCGAACGGUAAGGCCCCUUCGGGGGUACACGAGUGGCGAACGGGUGAGUAACACGUGGGUAAUCUGCCCUGCACUUCGGGAUAAGCCUGGGAAACCGGGUCUAAUACCGGAUAUGAACUCCUGCCGCAUGGUGGGGGUUGGAAAGUUUUUCGGUGCAGGAUGAGCCCGCGGCCUAUCAGCUUGUUGGUGGGGUAAUGGCCUACCAAGGCGACGACGGGUAGCCGGCCUGAGAGGGUGAUCGGCCACACUGGGACUGAGACACGGCCCAGACUCCUACGGGAGGCAGCAGUGGGGAAUAUUGCACAAUGGGCGAAAGCCUGAUGCAGCGACGCCGCGUGGGGGAUGACGGUCUUCGGAUUGUAAACCCCUUUCAGUAGGGACGAAGCGCAAGUGACGUACCUGCAGAAGAG